UCAUGAACAUUAACAACUUAAUUCCAGGACCGCCCCAUACCCCGUCCGGUAUGGGCGCCAAAACCAUGAACCUCAAUACCCCGUCCGGUAUGAGGGUGAAACAGGCCGUCCCCAUACCUCGUCCGGUAUGGGCGCCAAAACAUAUAAGGUCUCCAUACUCCGUCCGAUAUGAGAGACCAUGUUCCCGGUAGGGUUCCCUACGGACCUGGUCCGUCCACCAUCUCCCAGUAUAUCUGUAACGGCCCCGGAAAUAUUAAAAUGAAAUGAGUAUUUAAAUAUAUCAAAUGCGGAAGCGAGAUCAAAAUUUCAGUUAACAUCCCUUACACGAAAAACCAGAAACGUACUUAAAAUAUAAAAGAUUAAACUAACUAAGAGAGAAACUCGAAAAUAAAACUAUGAGUAUGACUACAGAGUCUCUAGGUAUCCCCUUCGUCGUCCUCCUGCGGAACGGCUCGGGAACCAUGUCUUCCUGAUCUGAAAUGGUUAA
rnacentral:lncRNA from 1 species